rnacentral:rRNA from 1 species
GGUGCCUACGGGACGCAGCAGCGGGGAAUAUUGCGCAAUGGACGAAAGUCUGACGCAGCGACGCCGCGUGAGGGAUGAAGGUUUUCGGAUCGUAAACCUCUGCCAGGAGGGAAGAAAGCGUAUGGCGCCAAUCAGCCAUGCGUUGACGGUACCUCCAAAGGAAGCGCCGGCUAACUCCGUGCCAGCAGCCGCGGUAAUACGGAGGGCGCGAGCGUUAAUCGGAAUUACUGGGCGUAAAGCGCGCGUAGGCUGUUGUGUAAGUUGGGGGUGAAAUCCCACGGCUCAACCGUGGAACA